AGGCAUCCGUAGGGGUGCCCCGCACCAUUCGCUUCGGUGCGCUGUGCCUGCCAGGGACCGGCCAAUAACGGGCUACUGGGGGCAUAGCAAGCCGAAUGUGCAGAGCGAAUGGUGCGGGGCUGAGAUCACACCCUUGGAACCUGAUCCGGGUCAUACCGGCGGAGGGAACGGAGCCGAGGCGCCA
rnacentral:ncRNA from 1 species